rnacentral:rRNA from 1 species
GAUGAACGCUGGCGGCGUGCCUAAUACAUGCAAGUCGAGCGAACGGACGAGAAGCUUGCUUCUCUGAUGUUAGCGGCGGACGGGUGAGUAACACGUGGAUAACCUACCUAUAAGACUGGGAUAACUUCGGGAAACCGGAGCUAAUACCGGAUAAUAUUUUGAACCGCAUGGUUCAAAAGUAAAAGACGGUCUUGCUGUCACUUAUAGAUGGAUCCGCGCUGCAUUAGCUAGUUGGUAAGGUAACGGCUUACCAAGGCAACGAUGCAUAGCCGACCUGAGAGGGUGAUCGGCCACACUGGAACUGAGACACGGUCCAGACUCCUACGGGAGGCAGCAGUAGGGAAUCUUCCGCAAUGGGCGAAAGCCUGACGGAGCAACGCCGCGUGAGUGAUGAAGGUCUUCGGAUCGUAAAACUCUGUUAUUAGGGAAGAACAUAUGUGUAAGUAACUGUGCACAUCUUGACGGUACCUAAUCAGAAAGCCACGGCUAACUACGUGCCAGCAGCCGCGGUAAUACGUAGGUGGCAAGCGUUAUCCGGAAUUAUUGGGCGUAAAGCGCGCGUAGGCGGUUUUUUAAGUCUGAUGUGAAAGCCCGCGGCUCAACCGUGGAGGGUCAUUGGAAACUGGAAAACUUGAGUGCAGAAGAGGAAAGUGGAAUUCCAUGUGUAGCGGUGAAAUGCGCAGAGAUAUGGAGGAACACCAGUGGCGAAGGCGACUUUCUGGUCUGUAACUGACGCUGAUGUGCGAAAGCGUGGGGAUCAAACAGGAUUAGAUACCCUGGUAGUCCACGCCGUAAACGAUGAGUGCUAAGUGUUAGGGGGUUUCCGCCCCUUAGUGCUGCAGCUAACGCAUUAAGCACUCCGCCUGGGGAGUACGACCGCAAGGUUGAAACUCAAAGGAAUUGACGGGGACCCGCACAAGCGGUGGAGCAUGUGGUUUAAUUCGAAGCAACGUGAAGAACCUUACCAAAUCUUGACAUCCUUUGACAACUCUAGAGAUAGAGCCUUCCCCUUCGGGGGACAAAGUGACAGGUGGUGCAUGGUUGUCGUCAGCUCGUGUCGUGAGAUGUUGGGUUAAGUCCCGCAACGAGCGCAACCCUUAAGCUUAGUUGCCAUCAUUAAGUUGGGCACUCUAAGUUGACUGCCGGUGACAAACCGGAGGAAGGUGGGGAUGACGUCAAAUCAUCAUGCCCCUUAUGAUUUGGGCUACACACGUGCUACAAUGGACAAUACAAAGGGCAGCGAAACCGCGAGGUCAAGCAAAUCCCAUAAAGUUGUUCUCAGUUCGGAUUGUAGUCUGCAACUCGACUACAUGAAGCUGGAAUCGCUAGUAAUCGUAGAUCAGCACGCUACGGUGAAUACGUUCCCGGGUCU